rnacentral:rRNA from 1 species
CUCAGCCGUAAACUUAGACGUCAACCUACAAUAAGACGUCCGCCCGGGUACUACGAGCAUUAGCUUGAAACCCAAAGGACCUGACGGUGCCUCAGACCCCCCUAGAGGAGCCUGUUCUAGAACCGAUAACCCCCGUUAAACCUCACCACUUCUAGCCACCCCAGCCUAUAUACCGCCGUCGUCAGCUUACCCUGUGAAGGCAAUAAAAGUAAGCAAAAUGGGCACAACCCAGAACGUCAGGUCGAGGUGUAGCGUACGAAGCGGGAAGAAAUGGGCUACAUUUUCUAUUAUAGAACACUACGGACAUGCAACAUGAAAUAGUGCUUGAAGGAGGAUUUAGUAGUAAAGAGGAAGCAGAGUGUCCUUUUGAACCCGGCUCUGAGACGCGUAC